GUGAAGAACGUAGCGAAAUGCGAUAACUAGUGUGAAUUGCAGAAUUCCGUGAAUCAUCGAGUCUUUGAACGCACAUUGCGCCCCCUGGUAUUCCGGGGGGCAUGCCUGUCCGAGCGUCAUUGCUGCCCAUCAAGCACGGCUUGUGUGUUGGGUCGUCGUCCCCUCUCCGGGGGGGACGGGCCCCAAAGGCAGCGGCGGCACCGCGUCCGAUCCUCGAGCGUAUGGGGCUUUGUCACCCGCUCUGUAGGCCCGGCCGGCGCUUGCCGAACGCAAAUCAAUCUUUUCCAGGUUGACCUCGGAUCAGGUAGGGAUACCCGCUGAACUUAAGCAUAUCAAUAAGCGGAGGA
rnacentral:misc_RNA from 1 species